UAUUUUUGUCAUACAUUUAGUUUAUACUACUUAAUGUAUGUACUGUUGCAUCUCAUGGUAGGAAUGAUCACUGAAAACAGACUGCAUCAUGGAUGUGGAUUCUGCAUUC